rnacentral:rRNA from 1 species
AAAUACAACUCUCAGCAACGGAUAUCUUGGCUCUUGCAACGAUGAAGAACGCAGCGAAAUGCGAUACGUAGUGUGAAUUGCAGAAUUCCGUGAAUCAUCGAGUUUUUGAACGCAAGUUGCGCCCGAGGCUCGUCCGAGGGCAUUCCUGCCAGAGCGUCAUCG